CCUACGGGAGGCAGCAGUGGGGAAUAUUGCGCAAUGGGCGAAAGCCUGACGCAGCAACGCCGCGUGCGGGAUGAAGGCCUUCGGGUUGUAAACCGCUUUCAGCAGGGAAGAAGCGAAAGUGACGGUACCUGCAGAAGAAGCACCGGCUAACUACGUGCCAGCAGCCGCGGUAAUACGUAGGGUGCAAGCGUUGUCCGGAUUUAUUGGGCGUAAAGAGCUCGUAGGCGGUUAGUCACGUCGGAUGUGAAAACCCAGUGCUUAACACUGGGCCUGCAUUCGAUACGGGCUGACUAGAGUGUUGUAGGGGAGACUGGAACUCCUGGUGUAGCGGUGAAAUGCGCAGAUAUCAGGAAGAACACCGGUGGCGAAGGCGGGUCUCUGGGCAACUACUGACGCUGAGGAGCGAAAGCGUGGGGAGCAAACAGGAUUAGAUACCCUGGUAGUCCACGCCGUAAACGGUGGGCGCUAGGUGUGGGGAACAUUCCACGUUCUCCGUGCCGCAGCUAACGCAUUAAGCGCCCCGCCUGGGGAGUACGGCCGCAAGGCUAAAACUCAAAUGAAUUGACGG
rnacentral:rRNA from 1 species